rnacentral:rRNA from 1 species
UGGGGAAUAUUGCACAAUGGAGGGUACUCUGAUGCAGCGACGCCGCGUGAGUGAUGAAGGAAUUCGUUUCGUAAAACUCUGUUCUAUGGGAAGAAAAGGACUGUACCAUAGGAGAAAGCUCCGGCUAAAUACGUGCCAGCAGCCGCGGUAAUACGUAUGGAGCGAGCGUUGUCCGGAAUUAUUGGGCGUAAAGGGUGCGCAGGCGGCUUUACAAGUUGGAUGUGAAAUAUUGUGGCUCAACCACAAACGUGCAUCCAAAACUGCAAAGCUUGAGUUAAGGAGAGGUAAGUGGAAUUCCUGGUGUAGCGGUGGAAUGCGUAGAUAUCAGGAGGAAUACCGGUGGCGAAGGCGACUUACUGGACUUAAACUGACGCUCAGGCACGAAAGCGUGGGGAGCAAACAGG